rnacentral:rRNA from 1 species
CAGCCGCCGCGGUAAUACGAAGGGUGCAAGCGUUAAUCGGAAUUACUGGGCGUAAAGCGCACGCAGGCGGUCUGACAAGUCAGAUGUGAAAUCCCCGGGCUUAACCUGGGAACUGCAUUUGAAACUGUCAGGCUGAAGUCUUGUAGAGGGGGGUGGAAUUCCAGGUGUAGCGGUGAAAUGCGUAGAGAUCUGGAGGAAUACCGGUGGCGAAGGCGGCCCCCUGGACAAAGACUGACGCUCAGGUGCGAAAGCGUGGGGAGCAAACAGUAUUAGAUACCCGCGUAGUCCCUGUCUCUUAUAC